rnacentral:rRNA from 1 species
AACACAUGCAAGUCGAGCGGUAACAUGAUAAGUAGCAAUACAAAUUGAUGACGAGCGGCGGACGGGUGAGUAACACGUAGGAACCUGUCUUCUAGAGGGGAACAACCAAGGGAAACUUUGGCUAAUACCGCAUGAACUCGAGAGAGGAAAGUUGCCCCCGGACUUGAUCCGGGGGUGACACUAGAAGAGGGGCCUGCGUCUGAUUAGCUAGUUGGUGAGGUAAAAGCUCACCAAGGCGAUGAUCAGUAACUGGUCUGAGAGGACGACCAGUCACACUGGGACUGAGACACGGCCCAGACUCCUACGGGAGGCAGCAGUGGGGAAUCUUGGACAAUGGGGGCAACCCUGAUCCAGCGAUGCCGCGUGGGUGAAGAAGGCCUUCGGGUUGUAAAGCCCUUUUAACGGGGAAGAUAAUGACGGUACCCGUAGAAUAAGCCCCGGCUAACUUCGUGCCAGCCGCCGCUGUAA